rnacentral:rRNA from 1 species
UACGUAGGGGGCGAGCGUUAUCCGGAUUUAUUGGGCGUAAAGCGUGUGUAGGCGGUUUAUUAAGUUUAAGAUAAAAUUCCGAAGCUUAACUUCGGUUCGUCUUAAAAACUGGUAGACUUGAGUAUAGUAGAGGCAAGUGGAAUUUCUAGUGUAGCGGUUAAAUGCGUAGAUAUUAGAAGGAACACCAGUGGCGAAGGCGGCUUGCUGGGCUAAAACUGACGCUGAGACACGAAAGCGUGGGGAGCAAAUA